ensembl:lncRNA
ACGGAGGCUGCGCUUGGCUGCUGCCCUAAGAUGCGUCUAGCGAGGAAAACAUCCCCUCUGUGAGGCCUGGGGCCACGUCCUCAAGAGCCCGGGCGUCAGCCUAUCCUCUGAGGGCAGGGCGUGCCCUCCACUCCAUCCUGGGCGAGGAGGCUGCUUUCAGACAGCCUUUUUUGUGCCAAGGCAGGAUGCUGGGCUGGUAAAGCCUUUAGAGCAGAAUGUCUGAGCUUUGUUCUAUCAACAUGGCUCUUAGCUUCCAUUUUUUUCAUCUCUAAAAUUGGAAUAAUAUUUUUAAAUGACCGUUUAUUUAAGACAAUAACACAAGCACUGUGCUAAGUGUAUUGUGCUCACUCACUUCAUUGUGUCCGACUCUUUGUGACCCCGUGGACCGUAGCCCACCAGGCUCCUCUGUCCAUGUGGUUCUCCAGGCAAGAAUACUGGAGUGGGUGGCCACUUCCUUCUCCAGGGAUUUUCCUGAUCCAGGGAUCGAAAAAUCCACGCCUCUUACAUCUCCUGCAUUGACAGGUCGUUGGGAAGAUUACUCAAGAUGAUGUGCAAGACAAUUGCUGAGUGACUGAUACAUCAUCAGAGCGCAGUGGAAGAUGACUGCUAACCAUUUUCAAAGGACGGGCUCAGAAUGCCCUCACCUCCUCACGUGUCCCACCAAACAAGUGAGUCUGCUGAUGGCCCAGUUGACAUCAAAGUGCCUCGGACCUGGGCACUGGGAUGGUCUCGUGUUGCCGCAUCUGCCCAUCUGCUCUUGACUUUUCUUAUCUCCAAAAGAAGGAGAGAGGCCUCCAGGAUCUCCAGCAUUCCAUCGAAGCAAGAUCUCGCUGUAAGUCUGGGGUUCCAGAGUCUCUGCAGAAGACAGUUGGGGAUGGGGGCAGUGCCCACGGCUCCCUCUGCGGUUCUGAAUGGUGCCCCGUGACUCCACUCCCAGUCACCGCCCGGCCGGCGCUCCGGUUCAGCCGAGGUCUGGGCGUGGCAGGCCAACCCGCUGCCCUGACCGAGGUAUACCCAGGGAGACGCGGGUGCUGUUUACACAGGCCCGGAGCUGGGGCCUGCCUCGCCCUGGCCCGAGCCUCUUACUGCUCUGCGAACUGGAAUUCCCCAAAUUUUCCCCCAAAUUAAAAGAACUAACAAACUGUAUUGCAAAAACAAACAGAGUUUGUUUUUCUUUUAACAAAUAAAAACUAAUUUAUGCUCUAGCUUUGUUGCCUUGAAUCAACCCGACCGCACAAUUUCGCUGCCAACA